GACGAACCGUGCGAACGUUGUUCGGAAUCACUGGGCUUAAAGGGCGCGUAGGCGGCUCCGCAAGUCGGGGGUGAAAUCUUUCGGCUUAACCGGAAAAGUGCCUCUGAUACUGCGGAGCUCGAGGGAGGUAGGGGCGGACGGAACUUCCGGUGGAGCGGUGAAAUGCGUUGAUAUCGGAAGGAACGCCGGUGGCGAAAGCGGUCCGCUGGCCCUCUACUGACGCUGAGGCGCGGAAAGCCAGGGGAGCAAAGCGGG
rnacentral:rRNA from 1 species